rnacentral:rRNA from 1 species
CCUACGGGAGGCAGCAGUGAGGAAUAUUGGUCAAUGGACGAGAGUCUGAACCAGCCAAGUAGCGUGAAGGAUGACUGCCCUAUGGGUUGUAAACUUCUUUUAUAUGGGAAUAAAAUGUGCCACGUGUGGGAUUUUGUAUGUACCAUAUGAAUAAGGAUCGGCUAACUCCGUGCCAGCAGCCGCGGUAAUACGGAGGAUCCGAGAGUUAUCCGGAUUUAUUGGGUUUAACGGGAGCGUAGGUGGCUUGUUAAGUCCGUUGUGACAGUUUGCGGCUCAACCGUAAAAUUGCAGUUGAAACUGGCAGUCUUGAGUACAUUAGAGGUGGGCGGCUUUCGUGGUGUAGCGGUGCCAUGCUUAGAUCUCACG